CGCACGGGUGAGUAACACGUAUCCAACCUGCCGUCUACUCUUGGACAGCCUUCUGAAAGGAAGAUUAAUACAAGAUGGCAUCAUGAGUCCGCAUGUUCACAUGAUUAAAGGUAUUCCGGUAGACGAUAGGGAUGCGUUCCAUUAGAUAGUAGGCGGGGUAACGGCCCACCUAGUCUUCGAUGGAUAGGGGUUCUGAGAGGAAGGUCCCCCACAUUGGAACUGAGACACGGUCCAA
rnacentral:rRNA from 1 species